ACGACAAACUCUUUUGAGUGGCCCUUAAGAUGUCUUCUAACCUAGUCUCAACAUAACUUUCUUGUGAUCCUGCCCAUUCACCCUCCCUGACACUCUCCCUGUGCCAUUUUCUUUCCAGCCUCUGCACCUUUGCACACCUUGCUCUGUCUAGAAUGCUCUCUCUCCCUCCUCCCCCUCACUCUCCUCUGUCAAACUCCUCCUCCUCCAAGGUUCACUUAAAUGUUACCUCUUAGAGAGCCCUUACCAGCUUCCUCAAGCAGGUUAAUCCCUAUAUCCUGAAGAAGAACAUGAUCCUCAUGACAAAUCAUUUCUAUGCAGCGAUCUUGGGAUAUGAUGAGGGGAUCCUUUCAGAUGAUCAUGGGCUGGCCGCUGCCCUCUGGAGAACCUUCUUCAACCGGAAAUGUGAAGACCCUCGACAUCUUGAAUUGCUGGUAGAGUAUGUGAGGAAACAGAUACAGUACCUGGACUCCAUGAACGGGGAGGAUCUGCUUCUGACAGGGGAGGUGAGCUGGCGCCCUCUAGUGGAGAAGAAUCCUCAGAGCAUCCUGAAG
rnacentral:sRNA from 1 species